rnacentral:rRNA from 1 species
UUAAGUUAUUAAGGGCGCACGGUGGAUGCCUUGGCACUAGAAGCCGAUGAAGGACGUUACUAACGACGAUAUGCUUUGGGGAGCUGUAAGUAAGCUUUGAUCCAGAGAUUUCCGAAUGGGGAAACCCAGCAUGAGUUAUGUCAUGUUAUCGAUAUGUGAAUACAUAGCAUAUCAGAAGGCACACCCGGAGAACUGAAACAUCUUAGUACCCGGAGGAAGAGAAAGAAAAUUCGAUUCCCUUAGUAGCGGCGAGCGAAACGGGAAGAGCCCAAACCAACAAGCUUGCUUGUUGGGGUUGUAGGACACUCUAUACGGAGUUACAAAGGACGACAUUAGACGAAUCAUCUGGAAAGAUGAAUCAAAGAAGGUAAUAAUCCUGUAGUCGAAAAUGUUGUCUCUCUUGAGUGGAUCCUGAGUACGACGGAGCACGUGAAAUUCCGUCGGAAUCUGGGAGGACCAUCUCCUAAGGCUAAAUACUCUCUAGUGACCGAUAGUGAACCAGUACCGUGAGGGAAAGGUGAAAAGCACCCCGGAAGGGGAGUGAAAUAGAACCUGAAACCGUGUGCUUACAAGUAGUCAGAGCCCGUUAAUGGGUGAUGGCGUGCCUUUUGUAGAAUGAACCGGCGAGUUACGAUUUGAUGCAAGGUUAAGCAGUAAAUGUGGAGCCGUAGCGAAAGCGAGUCUGAAUAGGGCGUUUAGUAUUUGGUCGUAGACCCGAAACCAGGUGAUCUACCCUUGGUCAGGUUGAAGUUCAGGUAACACUGAAUGGAGGACCGAACCGACUUACGUUGAAAAGUGAGCGGAUGAACUGAGGGUAGCGGAGAAAUUCCAAUCGAACCUGGAGAUAGCUGGUUCUCUCCGAAAUAGCUUUAGGGCUAGCCUCAAGUGAUGAUUAUUGGAGGUAGAGCACUGUUUGGACGAGGGGCCCCUCUCGGGUUACCGAAUUCAGACAAACUCCGAAUGCCAAUUAAUUUAACUUGGGAGUCAGAACAUGGGUGAUAAGGUCCGUGUUCGAAAGGGAAACAGCCCAGACCACCAGCUAAGGUCCCAAAAUAUAUGUUAAGUGGAAAAGGAUGUGGCGUUGCCCAGACAACUAGGAUGUUGGCUUAGAAGCAGCCAUCAUUUAAAGAGUGCGUAAUAGCUCACUAGUCGAGUGACACUGCGCCGAAAAUGUACCGGGGCUAAACAUAUUACCGAAGCUGUGGAUUGUCCUUUGGACAAUGGUAGGAGAGCGUUCUAAGGGCGUUGAAGCAUGAUCGUAAGGACAUGUGGAGCGCUUAGAAGUGAGAAUGCCGGUGUGAGUAGCGAAAGACGGGUGAGAAUCCCGUCCACCGAUUGACUAAGGUUUCCAGAGGAAGGUUCGUCCGCUCUGGGUUAGUCGGGUCCUAAGCUGAGGCCGACAGGCGUAGGCGAUGGAUAACAGGUUGAUAUUCCUGUACCACCUAUAAUCGUUUUAAUCGAUGGGGGGACGCAGUAGGAUAGGCGAAGCGUGCGAUUGGAUUGCACGUCUAAGCAGUAAGGCUGAGUAUUAGGCAAAUCCGGUACUCGUUAAGGCUGAGCUGUGAUGGGGAGAAGACAUUGUGUCUUCGAGUCGUUGAUUUCACACUGCCGAGAAAAGCCUCUAGAUAGAAAAUAGGUGCCCGUACCGCAAACCGACACAGGUAGUCAAGAUGAGAAUUCUAAGGUGAGCGAGCGAACUCUCGUUAAGGAACUCGGCAAAAUGACCCCGUAACUUCGGGAGAAGGGGUGCUCUUUAGGGUUAACGCCCAGAAGAGCCGCAGUGAAUAGGCCCAAGCGACUGUUUAUCAAAAACACAGGUCUCUGCUAAACCGUAAGGUGAUGUAUAGGGGCUGACGCCUGCCCGGUGCUGGAAGGUUAAGAGGAGUGGUUAGCUUCUGCGAAGCUACGAAUCGAAGCCCCAGUAAACGGCGGCCGUAACUAUAACGGUCCUAAGGUAGCGAAAUUCCUUGUCGGGUAAGUUCCGACCCGCACGAAAGGCGUAACGAUUUGGGCACUGUCUCAACGAGAGACUCGGUGAAAUCAUAGUACCUGUGAAGAUGCAGGUUACCCGCGACAGGACGGAAAGACCCCGUGGAGCUUUACUGUAGCCUGAUAUUGAAAUUCGGCACAGCUUGUACAGGAUAGGUAGGAGCCUUUGAAACGUGAGCGCUAGCUUACGUGGAGGCGCUGGUGGGAUACUACCCUAGCUGUGUUGGCUUUCUAACCCGCACCACUUAUCGUGGUGGGAGACAGUGUCAGGCGGGCAGUUUGACUGGGGCGGUCGCCUCCUAAAAGGUAACGGAGGCGCUCAAAGGUUCCCUCAGAAUGGUUGGAAAUCAUUCAUAGAGUGUAAAGGCAUAAGGGAGCUUGACUGCGAGACCUACAAGUCGAGCAGGGUCGAAAGACAGACUUAGUGAUCCGGUGGUUCCGCAUGGAAGGGCCAUCGCUCAACGGAUAAAAGCUACCCCGGGGAUAACAGGCUUAUCUCCCCCAAGAGUUCACAUCGACGGGGAGGUUUGGCACCUCGAUGUCGGCUCAUCGCAUCCUGGGGCUGUAGUCGGUCCCAAGGGUUGGGCUGUUCGCCCAUUAAAGCGGUACGCGAGCUGGGUUCAGAACGUCGUGAGACAGUUCGGUCCCUAUCCGUCGUGGGCGUAGGAAAUUUGAGAGGAGCUGUCCUUAGUACGAGAGGACCGGGAUGGACAUACCUCUGGUGUACCAGUUGUCGUGCCAACGGCAUAGCUGGGUAGCUAUGUAUGGACGGGAUAAGUGCUGAAAGCAUCUAAGCAUGAAGCCCCCCUCAAGAUGAGAUUUCCCAACUUCGGUUAUAAGAUCCCUCAAAGAUGAUGAGGUUAAUAGGUUCGAGGUGGAAGCAUGGUGACAUGUGGAGCUGACGAAUACUAAUCGAUCGAAGACUUAAUCAA